UGGAAAUGCUUGCUGUUUUUUCGAAGUGGAAAUGAACGGAUGAUACCGUACAACAGUGAACCUGCAGAUCAUCAGUCAAAGCGAUAAGAUUGUGACAAAUUUGAAAAAAAGUAGAGAAAAAACGACAGUGAAUCGCGAAUGUGUAUCUCAACGAUUCAAUUUUAAAUGCUACAUUUGCUUGUAUCGCGGACGUUUGCAAUUGAAAAUUAAGUGACCACAAAGCUGAACAAUUCUGAGUGAUAUACCGGCGCCUGGAGAAAUUUCAUCAUUUGGAUUCGGGCAAGUUUCUGUACGAGAAUCAAAAUAGCCUUGCAACGAAGGCGUAGUUCGCUGCGCCUGAACAGUUCCCACAAUGUGGGAUAUGUCGAUUCGUGCUUACUAUUACGGUUCUCACAGGGAUUGACUUUUCGCAUCGCACUUAGGCUUUAAGGUCAGACUUACGUAAGAAAUCUUGAUACCUGGGUAAAUUUUCACCCCGCUGCUUCACCUAUUUGUUAUGGUAUCAACAUUCGAAUAAUUGGUAAUAUUUCUAUCAAUUUUCCGAUAUAGCAUCUUAGGAAAAGGCAUAGAAAGAAAGGCUGUAAGAAAAGAUAUCUCGACUGAAAACUAUAAGAAAAUCAUGGAUGUGAAUGUUAUUGCCAAAGCUAUUUGUAAACGAGGAGCUAAUAAAAUUAUACGAGGAAAUAAUACACUAGGACAUAUUACCAACAUUAGCAGAUUUCAGGAAAAUCUUCGGCUACAGGAAAAGGCUAUUUUUUCAUUUAUAUGCUUCCAGGAAAUUUGCUUUAACUUUCAAGACUCAAGUCACUGAACCAGAAAAAACAGUCUAAACAUUAAGUAAUGAAGACUGCAUGGAAUAUACGUCAAGGGACAAGCUGAAAUUCUGAAUUUGACCAAAGAUCCCUGACAAAGGAGAUUAAUAUUCGGAUCUUCGCUAGAUGACAAGUGAAGCCAUUAUUAUAUGAUUCUCAACUCUCCUUUUAAGCACCCGGAAGACCAGCAUUAUACUCAAUGUCAUCUUUCACAUGGUCAUCAACCCAAACUAACUUUCAUUAUACCUCUAUUGAACAAUGAUAAUCUUACAGAUAAUAUUUUAUUAUAAAACAAUAAAAAAUUUUUUCCUUUAGUUACGUGUUAAACAUAUAUUUUAUAUAAGCACUUGUCAAAUUUUUGAAAUUUUAAUUCUUUAUAUAUUGUAUAGGGAUAGAUAAUUUAAUAAAAAAUAUGUUCAAUACAUGUAAUUAAGAAUAAUGCUUCGAUAAAGAUUGCACUCUUUUAAUUAUCUGGCAAGUGCCCAAAAGUUUGAAAAGUCGACGAUGAAUCUAUCAGAUUUAUGAACAAUGGACUUGUAAUAUCGAUUGAAUGAAUUAUGAGACCACCUUCUGGGCACCAAAGGACCACAUUAAUUAAUUGUCACUGGAACUAUAUUUUUUACUUCUUUUAAAAGAUAUUUUUCACUUAGUUUUAUAACUUUCUACUUACCCAGUUCUAUUUACCGUGAUUAGUACUCACUAUCAUUAUAAUUAUCAGUCAAGUUUGGUAAAAGAAAUUAUUCAAGUCUAAAUGUCUUAUAGGUAGGGUACUUCAUACAGGUUUUUUAAAUUUUUGGCUUGACUGAUUUUAAGGAUUUUGAAGAAAUUGCUAAUUAACUUUAAC